CGCAAAGCCGUGGGGCGAGGGGGCGGCUAACCAGGGAGCGAGGCGACCUGGUUGUCCUUUCAGUGUCCGUCCUGCCGCUGGAGUCCAGAGCCAGCAGUUGAUGUGGAUCAAAGGCUGGUGGCUUUUGAGCCGGGGCCCGUGGGGACCCGCAUGAACCCUGGGCAGCGUGCUGGCGGGUUGCCCCUUUGCCCUGCACGUGCUGUGCCCCCAGGCCCUCUGUCUCCUUCGUUGAGAGUGAUUUUUCUCUGAGAGCCUGUCUUCCCCCACGAGGCAAGUGUGCCUAACAAAGGGAGAUGUAUCUGGAACUGAGCAGCGCCAUGAGGGGCUUCUAGAAGUCUCUGGGAGUCUCAGGGUUUGUCCUGGAAGGUGAUUCUGGAAGGAAAUCAUAUCCAUCCUGGGCUCUUUGCUUUCAUCAUUGUUAUUGUCAUCGCCAUCGUCAUCACAAGUGUCAUCAUCAUCACCAUCAGCUUUAUCAUCAGCACUCUCGUCAUCACAGCCAUCACUGAAUAUGGUGCUCACUAUGUCCCAUCACUGCUCUAAGUGAUUUCAGUUGCUCCUUUGUCAUCAUCACAAAUCUCUCAGGGAGCAGCAAUGUUUGAGGCAGAAGCUGCCUCAUUAGCCUGGUCCUGGAGUGACGAUGAGGUGGAGCAAAUCCACAGCCAAAUCAAAAUGA
rnacentral:lncRNA from 1 species